UACGAAGGGGGCUAGCGUUGCUCGGAAUCACUGGGCGUAAAGGGUGCGUAGGCGGGUCUUUAAGUCAGGGGUGAAAUCCUGGAGCUCAACUCCAGAACUGCCUUUGAUACUGAAGAUCUUGAGUUCGGGGAGAGGUGAGUGGAACUGCGAGUGUAGAGGUGAAAAUUCGUAGAUAUUCGCAAGAACACCAGUGGCGAAGGCGGCUCACUGGGCCCGAUACUGACGCUGAGGCACGAAAGCGUGGGGAGCGAACAGG
rnacentral:rRNA from 1 species